rnacentral:rRNA from 1 species
CAGCAGCCGCGGUAAUACGGAGGGUGCAAGCGUUAAUCGGAAUUACUGGGCGUAAAGCGCACGCAGGCGGUCUGACAAGUCAGAUGUGAAAUCCCCGGGCUCAACCUGGGAACUGCAUUUGAAACUGGCAAGCUAGAGUCUCGUAGAGGGGGGUAGAAUUCCAGGUGUAGCGGUGAAAUGCGUAGAGAUCUGGAGGAAUACCGGUGGCGAAGGCGGCCCCCUGGACGAAGACUGACGCUCAGGUGCGAAAGCGUGGGGAGCAAACAGGAUUAGAUACCCGAGUAGUCCCUGUCUCUUAUAC